AAGCGGUUGCUGAUGAACUCGCAGAUGCCGCUCAGGGUCAGCUUCUUCUGCGGGCUCUGCAGGAUGGCCAUGGUGAUGAGCGCGAUGUACGAGUGUGGACAAAUCCUCCAAGAUUUAACUUCCAAGAAAACCGGCGGCGGAGCGGGUGGAGGAGGCGAGGAUGUGUGGCCAGUGCACGCGGAGUGCAAGGCCGCCUAGUUGGGAGCCGCAAGAGCCUGCCUGGUGUGGCAGGCACACGGAACCCAAUCCCUGUCUGUCCGCUGCGGCCUGGGAGGGGAGCGCCGGCCUCACCAGAGGAAGGAGCACGAGGGGAGGAGUUCCGAGAGGAAAUAAUUAGUGAAAUAUUUGCAGAAGAUGCUGGGAUGUGGAUUUAAUUCCGGAUGGACAGUGGUGCUUCUGAUUCCCUCAGUCUGUUUCCCCACCCACGAUCUCCUCUUUCCUUGGCCUAGACACACCAAAAAUAAUUCAAUAAAAUAAAAAUAAAAAUUUAAAAAUC
rnacentral:antisense_RNA from 1 species